GACGAACGCUGGCGGCGUGCUUAACACAUGCAAGUCGAACGGUAAGGCCCUUCGGGGUACACGAGUGGCGAACGGGUGAGUAACACGUGGGUGAUCUGCCCUGCACUUCGGGAUAAGCCUGGGAAACUGGGUCUAAUACCGGAUAGGACCCUGGGAUGCAUGUCCUGGGGUGGAAAGCUUUUGCGGUGUGGGAUGGGCCCGCGGCCUAUCAGCUUGUUGGUGGGGUGAUGGCCUACCAAGGCGAGGACGGGUAGCCGGCCUGAGAGGGUGACCGGCCACGCUGGGAAUGAGAUCAGGCCCAGACUCCUACGGGAGGCAGCAGUGGGGAAUAUUGCACAAUGGGCGCAAGCCUGAUGCAGCGACGCCGCGUGAGGGAUGACGGCCUUCGGGUUGUAAACCUCUUUCAGCACCGACGAAGCGCAAGUGACGGUAGGUGCAGAAGAAGGACCGGCCAACUACGUGCCAGCCGCCGCGGUAA
rnacentral:rRNA from 1 species